rnacentral:rRNA from 1 species
CAGCCAGACUCCUACGGGAGGCAGCAGUGAGGAAUAUUGGUCAAUGGGCGGAAGCCUGAACCAGCCAAGUCGCGUGAGGGAAGAAGGCCCUGCGGGUCGCAGACCUCUUUGGACGGGGAGCAAGGCCGCCGACGUGUCGGCGGAAGGAGAGUACCCGUAGAACAAGCAUCGGCUAACUCCGUGCCAGCAGCCGCGGUAAUACGGAGGAUGCGAGCGUUAUCCGGAUUUAUUGGGUUUAAAGGGUGCGCAGGCGGCACGGCAAGCCGGCGGUCAAAUCGCGGGGCUCAACCCCGCUCAGCCGUCGGAACUGCCGGGCUAGAGUGGGCGAGAAGUGCGCGGAAUGCGUGGUGUAGCGGUGAAAUGCAUAGAUAUCACGCAGAACUCCGAUAGCGUAGGCAGGUUACUGGGACGGUUCUGACACUAAGGCACGAAAGCGUAGGGAGCAAACGGGAUUAGAUACCCCGGUAGG